AACGCGAAGAACCUUACCAGGAUUUGACAUGGGGAGGACCGGUACAGAGAUGUACUUUUCCCGCAAGGGACCUUCCGCACAGGUGCUGCAUGGCUGUCGUCAGCUCGUGUCGUGAGAUGUUGGGUUAAGUCCCGCAACGAGCGCAACCCUUACCUUUAGUUGCCAGCAUUUAGUUGGGCACUCUAGAGGGACUGCCGGUGACAAGCCGGAGGAAGGUGGGGAUGACGUCAAGUCCUCAUGGCCCUUAUGUCCUGGGCUACACACGUGCUACAAUGGUGGUGACAGUGGGAAGCUAUGUGGUGACACAAUGCUGAUCUCUAAAAGCCAUCUCAGUUCAGAUUGUACUCUGCAACUCGAGUACAUGAAGGUGGAAUCGCUAGUAAUCGUGGAUCAGCAUGCCACGGUGAAUACGUUCCCGGGUCUUGUACACACCG
rnacentral:rRNA from 1 species